ACGCCUACCAGUGAGUUGCUGCACACGUUCACGUAGCAGCGGUGCUCCCCGUCCAGGCUGGUACGCAGCACAUGGCCCGGCUCAGGGUGCACGAACCGCACAUCCACCCCACGCUCCCGCUCCAGGGCUGUGAUCUCCUCCUCGUAGCGCCUCCGGUUCUCGGGGUCCGUGAUCUCCGCGGCGUACUCGGAGAACAUUCGGCGGAACUCUGGGUCCUGAAAGGCGGAGGUGAACCGCUGCACCUCCUCUCUGCUCAGAUCCAAGUCCUCCAGCGCUGAGGAGGCCGCCGCCUUGGCCAUGGUGACCCACACGGCCCAAUGCCCAGACCCAGUGAAGGAUCAGGGUGAAUUGAGUGUCUAGGAUGCGCUUCAGAGUCUGGCUCAUGGAGAACUGACCAGUCCAAGAAGGCCUUCCUCUGUUACAUUUUAAGUAGACUGUCCCAAGAUUGGGAUGACACCUCAUCUCCGUUAUGCCAUCUCUUUCACAUGCUAAAUAUAUGUACUCAACUACCAUGGUGACUCUGAGUUCAAGGCCAGCCUGGUCUGCAGAGCAAGUUCCAGAAAAGCCAAGGAAUCCAGAGAAACGCUGUCUUGAAAACCCAAAACAAGUAAGUAAAUAAAACUCAAAUAACCAACUUCUGUUUCACAUUCUAAGCUUAUAGACUCAUCAACUGUCCAUCAGAUGUCUCCAUUUGAGUAAUAACUGCUUAAGCCCCAGAGGCCUGAAAUGGCGUGACUUCCCUUCCUCUUUCAUUUUCAGCAUUCCAAAUUCUUGUUCUUUACUUUCUUUGCCCUUCCUCUGUCAGCUUCCCUAUUCAUGGACUUGCCAGUGCUGCUCAUCUUCCCUCUUAAAUGUCAUCUGUUACUGGAUCAGUCUGCGUCAGAUAUUUAUUGCGUACUCUAC
rnacentral:lncRNA from 1 species